UACAGAGACUGCAAGCGUUAUUCGGAUUCACUGGGCGUAAAGGGUGCGCAGGCGACCGAGUGUGUGAGGCGUGAAAGCCCGGGGCUUAACCCCGGAAUUGCACCUCAAACUACACGGCUAGAGCAUUGGAGAGGGUAGCAGAAUUCAUGGUGUAGCAGUGAAAUGCGUAGAUAUCCGGAGGAACACCAGUGGCGAAGGCGGCCACCUGGGCUGUACCUGACGCUCAAACACGAAAGCUAGGGGAGCGAACGAG
rnacentral:rRNA from 1 species